rnacentral:rRNA from 1 species
AACGAACGCUGGCGGCAUGCCUAACACAUGCAAGUCGAACGAGACCUUCGGGUCUAGUGGCGCGCGGGUGCGUAACGCGUGGGAACCUGCCCUUAGGUUCGGAAUAACUCCCCGAAAGGGGUGCUAAUACCGGAUAAUGUCUUCGGACCAAAGAUUUAUCGCCUUUGGAUGGGCCCGCGUUGGAUUAGCUAGUUGGUAGGGUAAAAGCCUACCAAGGCGACGAUCCAUAGCUGGUCUGAGAGGAUGAUCAGCCACACUGGGACUGAGACACGGCCCAGACUCCUACGGGAGGCAGCAGUGGGGAAUAUUGGGCAAUGGGCGAAAGCCUGAUCCAGCAAUGCCGCGUGAGUGAUGAAGGCCUUAGGGUUGUAAAGCUCUUUUACCCGGGAUGAUAAUGACAGUACCGGGAGAAUAAGCUCCGGCUAACUCCGUG